GGUUAAGCGACUAAGCGUACACGGUGGAUGCCCUGGCAGUCAGAGGCGAUGAAGGACGUGCUAAUCUGCGAUAAGCGCCGGUAAGGUGAUAUGAACCGUUAUAACCGGCGAUUUCCGAAUGGGGAAACCCAGUGUGAUUCGUCACACUAUCAUUAACUGAAUCCAUAGGUUAAUGAGGCGAACCGGGGGAACUGAAACAUCUAAGUACCCCGAGGAAAAGAAAUCAACCGAGAUUCCCCCAGUAGCGGCGAGCGAACGGGGAGGAGCCCAGAGCCUGAAUCAGCAUGUGUGUUAGUGGAAGCGUCUGGAAAGGCGCGCGAUACAGGGUGACAGCCCCGUACACAAAAGCGCAUGUGCUGUGAGCUCGAUGAGUAGGGCGGGACACGUGGUAUCCUGUCUGAAUAUGGGGGGACCAUCCUCCAAGGCUAAAUACUCCUGACUGACCGAUAGUGAACCAGUACCGUGAGGGAAAGGCGAAAAGAACCCCGGCGAGGGGAGUGAAAAAGAACCUGAAACCGUGUACGUACAAGCAGUGGGAGCACAGGUUUACCUGUGUGACUGCGUACCUUUUGUAUAAUGGGUCAGCGACUUAUAUUCUGUAGCAAGGUUAACCGAAUAGGGGAGCCGGAGGGAAACCGAGUCUUAACCGGGCGUUAAGUUGCAGGGUAUAGACCCGAAACCCGGUGAUCUAGCCAUGGGCAGGUUGAAGGUUGGGUAACACUAACUGGAGGACCGAACCGACUAAUGUUGAAAAAUUAGCGGAUGACCUGUGGCUGGGGGUGAAAGGCCAAUCAAACCGGGAGAUAGCUGGUUCUCCCCGAAAGCUAUUUAGGUAGCGCCUCGUGAAUUCAUCUCCGGGGGUAGAGCACUGUUUCGGCUAGGGGGCCAUCCCGGCUUACCAACCCGAUGCAAACUGCGAAUACCGGAGAAUGUUAUCACGGGAGACACACGGCGGGUGCUAACGUCCGUCGUGAAGAGGGAAACAACCCAGACCGCCAGCUAAGGUCCCAAAGUCAUGGUUAAGUGGGAAACGAUGUGGGAAGGCCCAGACAGCCAGGAUGUUGGCUUAGAAGCAGCCAUCAUUUAAAGAAAGCGUAAUAGCUCACUGGUCGAGUCGGCCUGCGCGGAAGAUGUAACGGGGCUAAACCAUGCACCGAAGCUGCGGCAGCG
rnacentral:rRNA from 1 species